rnacentral:rRNA from 1 species
GGCCGCGGGAAUUCGAUUGGAUCGCCCUUAGAGUUUGAUCAUGGCUCAGGAUGAACGCUGGCGGCGUGCCUAACACAUGCAAGUCGAGCGAGAAGGUUGCAAAUGAUUCUUCGGAAGAAUGCGCAACUGGAGAGCGGCGGACGGGUGAGUAACGCGUGGGUAACCUGCCCUAUGGAGGGGGAUAACUAAGAGAAAUCUUAGCUAAUACCGCAUAAGCGCACAGCAUCGCAUGAUGCCGUGUGAAAAACUCCGGUGCCAUAGGAUGGACCCGCGUCAGAUUAGCUAGUUGGUGAGGUAACGGCUCACCAAGGCGACGAUCUGUAGCCGACCUGAGAGGGUGAUCGGCCACAUUGGGACUGAGACACGGCCCAAACUCCUACGGGAGGCAGCAGUGGGGGAUAUUGCACAAUGGGCGAAAGCCUGAUGCAGCAACGCCGCGUGAAGGAAGACGGUUUUCGGAUUGUAAACUUCUAUCAGCAGGGAAGAAAAAAGACGGUACCUGACUAAGAAGCCCCGGCUAACUACGUGCCAGCAGCCGCGGUAAUACGUAGGGGGCAAGCGUUAUCCGGAAUUACUGGGUGUAAAGGGUACGUAGGCGGCCCAUUAAGUCAGAUGUGAAAGCCCGGAGCUCAACUCCGGGAUUGCAUUUGAAACUGGUGGGCUAGAGUACAGGAGAGGAAAGUGGAAUUCCUAGUGUAGCGGUGAAAUGCGUAGAUAUUAGGAAGAACACCAGUGGCGAAGGCGGCUUUCUGGACUGUAACUGACGCUGAGG